rnacentral:rRNA from 1 species
AUUGAACGCUGGCGGAAUGCUUUACACAUGCAAGUCGAGCGGCAGCGCGGGGGCAACCCUGGCGGCGAGCGGCGAACGGGUGAGUAACAUAUCGGAACGUACCCAGUCGUGGGGGAGUAACUAUCCGAAAGGAUAGCUAAUACCGCAUACGUCCUGAGGGAGAAAGCGGGGGAUCGCAAGACCUCGCGCGAUUGGAGCGGCCGAUAUCGGAUUAGCUAGUUGGUGGGGUAAAGGCUCACCAAGGCGACGAUCCGUAGCGGGUCUGAGAGGACGACCCGCCACACUGGAACUGAGACACGGUCCAGACUCCUACGGGAGGCAGCAGU